rnacentral:sRNA from 1 species
GGCAAAUAUCAGCAUCACUGAAAUAUACAUACAUAGGUAAUUGUAACGAAGAGAGCGUGCGAGUGAUUUAAGGGGACUGGGGAGAUCUGGACUAGCGCACUCGAUUCAAAUAUUAUUGCCCUCGAUCACCGUUGGAAAUAUUUUGUUUUCAUUAUACUGCUAAGAACAGAUCAUUUGUUGUGGAAUCUCGGCGAUGACAUGUACAACAUGAAAAUUUCUCUCCUGACCGUUCUGGCAAUAAUGCUGGCUGUGUGGACUGGCGCUGUAGCUGGAGAUUGUGUAACAGAUCCCGUGACAAUGCUGUGCAUAUUGGAUCCCAAUCAGGGCUAAUAACCGUGAACAGCCCAAUCUCUAUGUCUUCUCCUGUGUCUGUCUUGAAUAAAGUUGAAACGUGGCACUUAUGAA